rnacentral:lncRNA from 1 species
CGAAUAAUUUGAAUAUUUACUAGUGCAUGAUGCAAGUCCACUAUGAAAAAUAAUAAAGUUACAAAUUGUUUUCAGCAUACAAUCUUCUGAACAUGCCACUAACAUAUAAACCAUAAGUUUGCAUCCACAAAAUGUCGGACAGCUAGUCUGUAUGAUGAACAAAAAUAUGAGAAUUGCAAUGUACACAUACUACGCAUCCUUUUUACCUUUAUUGCGAUCGAAUUGUGUGAAUGGUGUCUUAAUGUUUGCACUAGGCAUCUUUAGUUUCAACUAUUGAAGUCUACGUAGGGGGAUCAGCAAUCUUCAACGGUUCAGCAAGGAUGAGAUCAUCAAUUGGCAAAGCAUCAAUAGAGAUAGCAACUGUAGGUACAGUGUUUGUAGCCUUUUGUUACACUAUCUGGAGCAACAUCAACCGACCUCUCGAAUCCAACUCCAACCGUCGACAUUCUGAACAUAUCAUCGGUCAGGCGGCCAACUGCUUCGGUUGCACCUUUUGGAUGCUGUGUGUCCACUUCUGUAUGUGGCGUCAAAUUGUGAUCGUAUCAAUUAUGGUGGGACACAUCUCCACAGCAAUAGUCCUAAAAUGUAUCGUUCUCAUCGAUGAAAUUGUGUCCUCCAAUGCCAGUAGCCACUUCAUCAAGCCUACGUCGAAUCACAUUGACCUCAUCAGCCACAUGUUGCCUCAAAUCGUGCACAUGGGCCCACAUAUCAUUUUCCAAACUAGUAAAUCUCGCAUUCAUUUCCUCCCUCAACUCGUCCAACCUGCACUCAAAGGCCUUUCUUUGUUCAUUCAAGAGAUAUCUGAUCUCAUCCGAAGACACGGGCCUCAAAGGUGCUCGGUGGCACGAGGUAGAAGAAGAUGGUCGGUUGACGAUCGAGUCGCCAUGGUCUUCAUCUCUACCUUCAGUGGGAUGCAAAUCUUUGAGACGAAGUCCACUUGUGUUGCCUCUUCGAGACUUUGUCGUUGAUUGUUGUUCACAUUGUGCAUAACUUCACCUUCUGGUGGGCAAUCCUGCAUUUCUAUUGUCUGAGCAAUGAGAUUGUCUAGAGCUUGGUCUAUUUUGUCUGGUAAAGCAACCAACCCAAUAAUAUAUGGCUACAAUUCUUCUGCAGCAGUAGCGCGCAGCGUCGUCCAUAAGUGCACCUAUAAGGGAAAGACAAAAUCGUCAAAAUGAGAUAUUAAUCAUUCUGAAAUUGUAACAGGAAUUUUAUAUGCAAGAUGCUCACAUGUGUUUUCUUGAAGAAGUUUGAAUAUAUUCUGGACUGCAGUUGUCUUGUGACAGUCCAUCGCAACAUCCUCGAAAUAUCGUCACCUGUCUUUGUCGCAAAUCGAGCUCCCAGCUCCGGCAUAGCCUCGUACCUCCACAACUUCAUGACGAACAGAAUGAAAGUUACUAUACAGAGGGACAUAACAUGGGAUGGAAAAAAUGAAAUGAAAAUAUGGAACAUGUGUACCUGAACAGCAAGAGGGAAACCGUACAACGUCUAAAACAUUCGGUCACAAUUGUGGACCUUUGCUAGGUCUGCCUUUCUCACCCAUCCACCGAGAAGUUAUUUGACAAGAAGUUUGAAACACUGUCCCCAUGAGUAGGCAUUGAAGAAAUCCAAAUCAUCCACAAUGAAGAGAGUUUCGGGAUGUAUCCUCAUAUUUGGGUCUCUACAAUUGAAGACCCCUUCAAUAAUCACUGCCAACCGAAGUUUGUAACGAUCAUUAUGUUGGGUAUAUUUUAGAAAAACGUUCUCCAUGUCAGUACACGUUACCCAGUCUUUACGGAUAAAUAGUUUGUCCCAUAGCCGGGUUUUUCCUAGGAUGUUGUCUAUCACCUUUCGGUACUUCAUCACACUUCAACCCAUUGAUUAAUGCAAACUCCGGCUGUUCGAAUCAUGCAAACCUUUGGUUCACCUUGAACCAAACCUCAAAACUUUUGUUAGAAAACACCGAUCAACUAUUCACCAUUUGUGAAUUAAUUGCCCAGACAGUUUCAGCUCUAACAACUUGGCAACAUGUCCUAUGCAACUUUCCUUGAAUAUAUGCUUUUGUUGUGCAUCGAGUUUGUCGAGGACAAUUGUUAUAUAUUUCAUGUUGCUGACUUGUGAAACCUACGUCGGGACGCUUUUCCUC